CCUACGGGAGGCAGCAGUGGGGAAUAUUGGACAAUGGGCGAAAGCCUGAUCCAGCCAUGCCGCGUGUGUGAAGAAGGCCUUCGGGUUGUAAAGCACUUUCAGUGGGGAAGAAAGCCUUGGGGCUAAUACCCUCGAGGAAGGACAUCACCCACAGAAGAAGCACCGGCUAACUCCGUGCCAGCAGCCGCGGUAAUACGGAGGGUGCGAGCGUUAAUCGGAAUUACUGGGCGUAAAGCGCGCGUAGGCGGUCUGAUAAGCCGGUUGUGAAAGCCCCGGGCUCAACCUGGGAACGGCAUCCGGAACUGUCAGGCUAGAGUGCAGGAGAGGAAGGUAGAAUUCCCGGUGUAGCGGUGAAAUGCGUAGAGAUCGGGAGGAAUACCAGUGGCGAAGGCGGCCUUCUGGACUGACACUGACGCUGAGGUGCGAAAGCGUGGGUAGCAAACGGGAUUAGAUACCCCAGAGUC
rnacentral:rRNA from 1 species